rnacentral:lncRNA from 1 species
AUAUAUUAAAAGAAAAAAAGAGUAAUCACUGGGCUGGGGUUGUGUCCCAGUGAUAAUUUUGAAUUUGAAACAAGAUGAAUUUUCAAAGA